GCUGGGUGUGGUGGUGCAUGCCUAUAAUCACAGUGGCUCCAGAGGCUGAGACAGGAGGAUCAUGAGUUCAAAGCCAGCCUCAGCAACGGUGAGGGGCUAAGCAACUCAGUGAGACCCUGUCUCUA
rnacentral:sRNA from 1 species